rnacentral:rRNA from 2 species
ACCCGAAGUCGGUGAGGUAACCUUUUAGGAGCCAGCCGCCGAAGGUGGGACAGAUGAUUGGGGUGAAGUCGUAACAAGGUAGCCGUAUCGGAAGGUGCGGCUGGAUCACCUCCUUU